UACAUUACCGACACUGUAAUUAAAGAAAUAGAGUGCGCUAUUCUUCUCUGAUUGUGAGCGGGACUUAACUCUAUACAGGGCAGUUCUUCUUGUGAAAGAAUUCUACACGGUUAACUUGUGUAGAGUUAAUCCGUAACGAGUUGGGUCCCAGUAUUUUACUUUGCUCUUAGGCCUAUUCAAAUAUCUGUCUUCAUGGAUACUAUAUCCCGUACGUCGAAGUAUCCUUACAAUCCUAAAUUGUUUUUUACGCAAUCUUGUUGGCAGUGUCGUUGCCUAGAUAAAAUGUCGAGCCCACCAGUGACCAAAGGACUUUUCGGAAAAUUAACGAGACCCACUAAUCCCAUCCACCGAGGGACUUUUAUGGCAUAUCUACGUGACUUGGUCAUGGCAACCGUACUUUGGCAAUAUAGUGAGAGCCUUAGGGUUAAGUUAAUUUCUGUAGGAUAGCCUACGAUGGAAGAGGCAGCAUUUGCCCUGAAGGCUCAAAAUGACUAGGAGAGUUCAACCCAGGAAAUCGUGUCGCCUCCUUAUGCCUGCAAAGUCACGUUCUGAGUUUGGACGCGUGUUACUCUUCGUGAAGUGUUCAUCCCUCCUCGGAAUCGUAAUUCAUUUUUCUAUACUUAUAUGUGAUAUUCAAGCGUAGAUAAUUAAUCGAAAUUAGCUGAUAAACUAUCUACAUAAGUGCCUAGUUCGCGACACGUUGUAAAACGCAUUGGAGAUCGUUAUAUUUGAACCGAGUCAUUAUUUAAACUGUGUUAAUACCGGGUGAUUUAUGCCGCCCAGGCUUUAAGUGAUUUAUUCGUCAAAUCGUGUAAGAGGUCAAUUUAUUCUUUUCUUUCUUGUCUCUCUUUCUUUGAGGAAGCUAAAGGCACAUUCUUCCACUCUGAAUGUCGAUAUUCAUCAAAUCUCAACGACGAUUCAUUUACCGUAGGAGCUUCUUUAUCUUCUGGAGAUCAAAGGAGCUGAUGCUAUUCGCGUGUGUCCCAAAAUGUUUUGUGCAGAUCAUAACUUUUUAUACAAUUCUAUAUUUGAUUCUAUUUAUUCAGCGCGUGCUGUGUCAAAUACACAAGAGAGCAAUCUAAAGAAAAAAUCGAUACUGAUCGUUAGGCGGUAUCCUGAUACUGCUUCCUUCUCACAUCUCACGCAUUCAGAUACUCUUUCAUCACCAUCAUCCUUCGACGUACCUGAAACGUGUCGUGAUUGCUGAGAUCAAAGACGAGAACGUAAGCCGUAGCACUCCUGAGCCCAUAAUACCGGAAGUCGGUCCAUUCGAGAGACGAUCUGCAAGGACGACACUUGGGUAGAACGUCUCCCUCCUCUCCGUGGGUGUAUACUCUUCGGAAAAUUCGUUCCAGACAAAUUGCUGGUAUUGCAAGAUCAUCUUACCUGGAUGAUGCUAGAUUUGCCGACUCCUGGUGCUCCGAGAAAGACAACCUUCACACGAUCAAGACUGUCCGCAGGACUUUCUUCCUCCUUGGAGCCACUAUCAGCGUUUUCGCUACCGAUAGUCUCGCCUCCUCGUCUCUCCAAGUAGUCUAAGUCUAGUUCUAAAAAAAAGCAAGAAAAUUCCAAAUAAGAAUAACAGUACUCUCUAUAUCUUCUUAGGGCACUUGAUUUUCUCUUUGUUAUUCUUAUAUUAAGCUUCCAAGUUUCUUUAUACUUUCAAAGAUCAAUAGGCUUCGCCCUAAUGUCUAAUUUAGCGACCUGCGGUUUAUCAUGAAUAAAUAAAACCGACGGACAUAGCA